UUGCACAGUGAACACCCAAGGAUGCUAACAUGGCUCUCUCUGGCCUUUAGUGUCUGUGCUAACAUCAACUCUGGUCUGUUCCUCUGCAUUAGGAGAGUUUAGUCUCUCCUAUAUGUAUUCAGCUGAUCAGAACAAAC
ensembl:snoRNA